GUCUGCUGCUGUGCUCAUUCCCCUGCUGCCUGGGCGCCAACCAGCCUUGCCACCCUGGAAGCACACAGGAGGGUCUCUGAGACCCCUCAGCAGAGAGGAUGAGCCCCCAGCCUCUCAUUUUGGGGCAGGGGAGACCCUGCUCUUGUGGGCCCCACCAUCAUCUGGGCUGGAGGCUGAGGCGGAGGACUUCAUACCUGGGGAAGGCCCAGCUGGCUGCCCACGUGCCACGGGGUGGCUUUCUUCUGCCUGGGCAUCUGAGAUCUCCAAAGAACGUCCCACCCAAACUUUCAUUGAGGAGCUGCAGCCGCUGGAAGGCCACGUGGGCCCAGGAAGGCCACCAGCCAUGGGCCACUGUUGCUCAGGCCACAGACCAAGGGCGUCCUUUUUUCAAAGGCCCUUGUCUUCAGGCAGAGACUGGGACUCAGACUGGGACGUCACAGCAUUAAAAUGGUACAAUGAAAAACAAGGACUCUGCACUCCAUCAGCGCACAGGGUCUGCAAAGGCAUCUCUGCUUCUCUCUGAAAGGAGAAGGAAAAGAGCCUGGGAAGGGAGAGCGGCGUAAGUAGCAGAGGCACCAGGCACCUGUUUGGGAAGGGAUCCCUAAAGCCAACCAACGAGCCCCAAACACAGCCAACAGAGAGACCCCGAAGUGCCAGCGCCGCCAUCUCAGACAGAGGAAAGGAGAGAAGCCCCAAGGAAGCCAAGGUGUGGGAGAGGGAGAGACUUCCAGUUGCCCCUUGACUUUUGGCAACCCCAUGAAUUGAGUGGUGUUUUCUUAGGCAGGAAUCCUCCGAGGUAGUUUUGCCCAUCCCUGCCUCUGAAAUACAGCCCACAGCACCUGGGAUUUGUUGGGGGGCCAAGGACUAACCAGGGAAGACCCCGCACAGCUUCCAAGACCAGAUGGGCAUUUGGUGCCUUCAGGCUGUUUGGGCCCGAAAUAAAGUCUCUGCCUGAACAAGGCACAUACAACCCCUCUGCCCUUCCUCUGCCCUGCCCUCUUUGCCCUCCCAGGCGGCCCCAUUGCUGGAGGGAGGCCCAGGGAGACCCACAUCUCCAAGUGGGCAGAACCAGAGGACCCCAUUCCACCCCCAGUUUGGCCUUGACAGCCCCUGCCCCCUGGAACAACCUGGGAGAAAGCAAGCCCCGAGGAGGAGGACCAAGAGGCCUGAGAGUCCUGCCAUCAAAACAGUGGCGUGCAAAGCUCUGGACUCCUGAAAACUUCUUGCUGGUCUCUCUCAGGUGCCAGGAAAGGAAGAGAGGUGGGCAGAGAGGCCCAACAUCUAGCCAGGACUGGCAUCAGCCUGGUCCCUUCUCCCUUGGCCAGGUGAGCCCAAGGCCCUCCUCAGCUGGCACUGGGCAGGAGGACCACGAAUGCUACCCACAGAGACCCAAAGCAGACCAGAGGAGAAGCAUCCCUUGGGGACCCUCCAGGAGUGAGAGAGAGGCUGGCGGUGGCCUAAAGAGGCAUAGGGCCCUGAGAAGAGGGGGGCCUUGGGGACCCUCCAGGAGCAACCGAGGCUUGACUUCCCUGUCCUAAGGGUGCCCCAGCUGCCCCCCCCAAAGCCUUGCCAUGCCGGGCCUGGGCCCAGGGGGUCUGCCAGGGGCAAUGGGGCAGGGAAGGAGGGGGUCCCCUUUUGUUGUGGGCCGUGAUAAAGGAUGGCCUUAAAAGGAGGCAAGCCGGAGGGAAGAGGGAAGGAGGGGCUGGGGUCCAGUUACGGCCGCUUGCCAUUCUUAGCCUGCCAGGCAGCAGCUGGGACCGAAUUACCUCAAGGGCAGCCAAGGGGAAGGAGGAGGGAGGCAGGCAGGCAGGGGCUCAGGGCUGGGCCCCCCAGGAGGGAAGGCAGGGGCAGCCCCGGCCCAGGCUCAGGGGGGUGCCCAGGGAGAUGCCCCCCAAGGCUGGCACGGGGCCCCUCCUGCCCUGCUCCUUCCCCCAAGGAGACCCUUUGGGGACUUCUCCUGCGGAGGCUCCGGGGCCCUGGGUUGGGGGGUCCCUGGGGGUCUUGGCCGGGGGGGGUCCCUACCUGCGGA